CGGGUGCUAGCGCUGCCGUAGGCGGCAGCUGACGAUGCUGGUGCUGUUGCUGCUGGCGCGAGACCGUGCGCGCGAGUUUGAGGAGGUCCACGGGCACCACGGCCCCGGGACAGCGCUUCUCCAGGAACUCUUGGAAGCCCUGGACGCCCAUGCUUCGUCGGUGGGCAGACGAGACGGCGGCUGCGCGAGCAGGGGUGAAGCCUCUUCCUUCCACCUCCGGGAGCCAUGUUGCCUCGUCUUCUCUAUGGACUCGAAGUGACGGGGCGUGAAACGUGUUUAGGAUUUGCAAUCCCAACUCCCUGCAUCCGCCGAAUUGCUUCAGGCUGUUUACCGCCUUUCCCAGGAAAAGGAGUUUGGGGGAAGAAGUGAUGCACCAUGGGAAAGGAAGUAGAGUGGAUUAAUUGAGUUCAGCUAAACAACGCUAAAAUUCCUGAGGAGGGAGCAUUUUCCGGGGGGGGGGGUGGUAUAAUAUGCGUAUCUUUUAAUGAAUGAGAUGGGACACACAUGAAACGUAAAAGUGGUAACCAACAUUUCUGUAGUACUCUACUUAACUUUUAACUACCGUAAUUCUUCGAAGAGUUGUUGGCCCCAGUUUAUGAGUAGUGAAGUUGACGUUACUUAUUUGCCCAAGGCAAUGCAGAGACAAAGUGAAAUUAUCACUUUUUUUUUUCCAGAACGUCUUUGGUCUGGGAAAUAAGCACCAACACAAAUUAAACUGCAAGGUAGUCACAGAGCUACAGUGUCUUUUAGUUUGGACCUUUGUUUCCAAACCUCAUUGUGAAUCUGGGAGCUCUUGCAGAAUAACUGCAAGGGCUACAAUUCCAGACGUACAGAAUCAUAAUCUUUUGAAAAAUAGACUUUCAGCAUGCUUUUUAGUUGAUUCUGAUGUAGCAUCAGUCUUCUGACUGGCUUUUAGGGCCCACUCUUUUAGCAGGAGGACAACAAAAUAGAAGAUCUGUUUGUAAUAGGGAGUAGUGUAGCCAGACCUGGCUUGGAACAUAAUGAAAGAUGGGAGAUAAUGGUAGGCCAAGUUAGAAUAUAAAAGUGCAGAACCCAAGAGUAGUCCAGAUAAAUGAAAGUCUGAGAACAGUCUAUCAGGAUGCAAAAGCUGAAAAUGCUUCAAGCUCCAUAAAGGAAUUUAUCAUGAAAGAAUAGUGCAGAUAGAACAAGCCAUACUGGCAAAGAAUAGAUGGUGAAGCAGUGCACAUAGGUAACUCUUAGUAAAAGGAGAGAGCAGUGGCUCAAAGGGAUGAAAGAUGGAAAGAAUAGAGGUUUUCUAGUUCAUAUAACCAUAACUGAAUGGGUCAAAGAUAGACAAUCCAAGCUGGAUCAAUCAGAAUCUCAUUCCCUGGAAAGUUGGAAUUGGACCAGAGAGAUCAGUUUUUCUCUAAACAUAAAACUUGGAAGCUGUCAGCAAUUUCACCACCAGAGGGAAAGAAGUAAAAUGUACUCUAUAGAAAGGGAAGAAAAAUGCAGAUUCUCAGCACAGAAGUGAGAUAUAGUCUUGUGUUUAAGUUCCAGGUUCUGUAUCAUUCCUGAAGCAUUCUUGGUCAUUGGUUUCUGUGAGGCAACCCCAUAUCCUUACUAUUAUUACUUUUAAGACAGAAUUGGAUUAGAAACUACUUAUGAUGAAAAAAAAAUCCCUUCAAAAACUGAUAGGAGAAAUGGAGUGUGGCAAUUUAUAGAUCCCAAAAUAUGGAACUGGCAGAGAUUAGUGAUCUCCCACAUCAGUUAAUGGGAAGUUGGCAUUUUGUGUUAUUUGGCAGUGAGGCAGUUGCUUAUUACUCUCAGGACUCUAAACAGAGCAGCCCUUCUGCCUGUAUCAAGAGAUCUUCAAUUGCUGAGUGUCAGAUGUUCAUGGGCUUUGCUAACUUAAAGCAGAACUUUCUCAUUUCAAAUGUUCACUGAUUAGGAAAUUGGCAUCUAGGUAAUUGGAAUGUGGUUAUCUGUCUAAACCUCCAUAGAUUCCUUGUCCUCCAGAUCCCCAAAUGUGAUGAUAUUUUCCUCUGUAAAUACAUUCAGCUGAAAUGCAAAGAAGAGAGAAUAGGUAUAACAUGCCCAAAGCAGAUCGGAAAAGAGAGGCAGGGCACCUGGGUGGCUCAGUCAGUUAAGUUUUGGCUCAGUUUGUGAUCUCAGGGUUCUGGGAUCAAGCCCCACGUCAGGCUCCGCACUCAGGUGGAGUCUGCUUAUCUCUCUCUCAUAAAUAUUUUAAAAGACACACACACACACUUCAUAGCCUUGAACUCAGCCUAUUAUUAUCUACCCAACCUCUGAACUUGGGUAUAGCUUGAGUAGAAUGCCAGGGAGAAUAAGCCAAGUCAUUCAGUAGAGUACUAAGAGAAGCUGCAACAGGCUGAGCCAGGUUAUUCCCUUUAGUAGAUCUUAAGAUUCAAAGAUUAUAAUUUAAAAAAAAAAAACAAAGAUUAUAAUUUGACAAGGUUCUUGGACUUGUUAUUAGCAUUCUGAGUCCCCUCAAAUGAAAUCCACAGGCAGUCAAGUGAGGUUUUGAGGAAGUUGUAUCACUAGAAAAUCAUAUCUAGUGAAUAGAGACCAUGAGUCAAAAUGGUGAUUUUCAAAGGAUGGUCCCUGGACCUGCACAUCAGCAUCACCUACAAACUGUUAGGAAUUCUCAGGCUUCACCUCAGACCUCCAGAAUCAAACUCUGUGAGUGGGGCCAGCAAUCUGUGUUUUUAAGUAAUGUCAAAGAUAAACAAAACCUGACAUUAGUUAAAGCAGUGAAAACUGGGUGAUGAGGGCACUUGUGAUGAGCACUGGGUGUUAUAUAUAAGUGAUGAAUCACUAAAUUCUACUCCUGAAACCAAUUUUACCAUGGUCACUAGAAUUUUUUUUUAAAAUCUUGAAAUAAAAGCAGUGAAAACAUUUUAUUCAGUAACUACUGUCAGUUGGGGAAAAAGCUGGGCUCUGUUCCCACUUGUGCAGAGGUGACUGGGUAUUUUAAAGGAAGGAUGAGGGAGGAUGAAGGAGGGUGCAGGGGCUCAAGUAGAGUCAGGGUAGUGAAAAAUUACAAAGAGUGGGCAAGAGUGUAAAAGCGAUUAGGCCAGCUAGGUCUGCUAGCUGGCACUUACGGAAAUUAGGGUGCUGUCCUACAGAGACUGGGAAAUAGAGGCCUAACCUUCCUGAUGAUUACAUUUCAAAGGAAUGGCUCUCAGGUCCUUAAGAAAGAUCUUUCUGAGUUGUAAGAGGGGACGGAGGGGAAGAGCUCACAGGUGUAAGCCUUUUUUAGUAAAUGCUCUAAAAAUGGGAGGUCAGGGGGCUAUCUUUAAGUGUUGGCUAAAGCAAACUAUAAAUUCUGUUGACAGCCCUGAGCUUUCCAAAUGGGAAAUGAGUCAUCUCAGGGACUAGCCUUAGGCUUCUAGAAGCUAUACUAAAGUUUGGUCAAGUCUCUUGACCUAGGUGUUUGAAGGGACUGUUUGUGUUGAGAAAGUUUUUGCAGGUCUCACCUUCAGGUGACUAUUAUAAUGCACUCUCAAAUUUGAGAAUCACUUCUCUUCUAGAACAUGCCCUCGGCCCAAGUAGACUGGUUAAGUGAGAAGGUGCAUCAGUAAAUUGACUCCCAUAAGUUUUUCUAUGCCUGUAAUUUACUUUUAUUCCUAUCCAGGUGGAAAUGGUGCAUAUUUGGACUUGGUAGCUGAUAAUGGUGUGCCCCUCUCCUCUCCUAAAAGGGGAUUUUGAUCAUGGUUAAUCUAUUUCUCAUAUUAGAUCUAUUGGUAGUGGUUAAGUUUACAAAAGGUUGCAGGAUCAAGAGGAGCCACAUUUAGACUGUCGCUGAAGUAGAGGAAGGGGCAUGUGACUUGUAGUUGGCCGUGGAUUGUUAGGUAUUUGCGUUUUUGGAAUUGUAGAUGUGGGGAAAGUGGCAUGUGUUUAUGGGCAGUUUAAGAGGAGGAGUACAGGUAAACAUCUAUUGUUUUGUCUUCCCAGCACCCUUUCUCUACUUUAUCCUCAUGGUUGCAGCAGGAAGCAUUCUUUAUGUACCUUCACAGAGAAUUUGGGAUUGAGCUGGUUGGUGAAGAGAUGAAAAAUCCUGGCUGCAUUCAAGCACCUGAUGUAUUUGUUCCUAAAGCCCAUUUGCAUUAUCCCUGGAUUUUGUGAGACACCACCAUCUUUAUAAUAAAUUCUUUUUGCUUAA